UACGGGGGGAGCAAGCGUUGUUCGGAUUUACUGGGCGUAAAGGGCGCGUAGGCGGCAUGACAAGUCACUUGUGAAAUCUCUGGGCUUAACCCAGAACGGCCAAGUGAUACUGUCGCGCUAGAGUGCAGAAAGGGCAAUCGGAAUUCUUGGUGUAGCGGUGAAAUGCGUAGAUAUCAAGAGGAACACCUGAGGCGAAGGCGGGUUGCUAGGCUGACACUGACGCUGAGGCGCGAAAGCCAGGGGAGCAAACGGG
rnacentral:rRNA from 1 species